AUUUGUACAAGUUGUGAAUUCCAAGUAUACAAUCAAUUUUCCUUUUGUGAAACCAGAAAUAAUAUCAAACAAUACCAUAAUUCUGAAUGUGGUACUAGUAAGCUUGUAAUUUUUAAUUCACCUUUGAAUUCAGGAUCACGAGUUAAGUCAAUUUUUUUUAUACUUGAUGGAUUUUAAGUGUUUAUUUUUCAAUAUUUUUCACACCUGAAGAAGGGGCAGUGGGACCCUGAAAGCUUGUGAAUAAAUCACUUCAAAAAUGUCAUCCAUACGAUCUGAUAACUCUACCUUAAUUUUUUUUAAAUUUUUUUCUGAGUAAUUUUAGUCUAACCUUACCCUUGAGUGAAGGAUCAUGUACAUUACGCAUAAAUAGAACUAGAUAUGUAGUUCUAGCAAUAUGGAUCUGUGAAUCAAUCACGCUUUUAAGGUCACAGUAUUCACAACUCCACCAUUUAUUUUGUAGGAUUUACAUAUUAUAUGUGAGCCAUAUUUUAAAUAGUGAUAGAGAUGACAACUAUCACAAACAAGUAUUGCAAAAUUCAUGUUGCAAUUUCUCGUCGAAAGGGCAAGUGCUUGUUGAUUGUUGUAUAGAACAAAACAUUGGCAAACUGGUUUUUGCAGUGACCACAAUGAACAGCAAGGCUUAUUAUUUCCUAUGAUUGUCAAGCCAGACCCAAAUUUCAAGAAUCCCCUGCGUCGACUGACCUUCAACUUCAACCCAUUUUAUAGACAUUGCAUAACGAAACUAAUGAAAGGACGCCAAUUGGUUUGACGGACUACAAACCAUGCCACGUAUGUACAUAUGUAUGUCGUGUGUGUUAUAUGGACAAGACUCUAAAUAAAACAUUGUUAUAUCGUGGUGUGGGUCAAAUAGUCCAUUUCGACAUUUAACCUAGCCCUUGAACCCUAAUAAUCUACUUGUGAAUAAUGAAAUUUUAGCAGUAGUAUUAUUAUAGCACCCCCGGUGCAUGGUUGUUGCACUGUCAACUCUGGAUGAUGAUCAGCAUACUUUAAACAUGCUAAAAAUCUAACAAAUGAAUUUUCUCAUAAUAAGGAACGUUGAGGUAGAUUAAAACACUAUGUUUCUGGCAUGUUUCUGGAUAUUUGUCGUUGAAAAUGGGGAUACAUACACAUGCAAGAAUACAGUAUUUCUAUCAGACCUCAUGCGUAUGACACUUAACUUUCUGUAAGUUUUUUCUAUGUAUAUGCAUAUUUACAGCUACUUCAUUCCUUUGAGAGUCACGUUGCAAGGCUGUUAGCCAAUGCCAAUUCGCAAAAUCCUACUUUGCAAUUUUGGAUUCAUACGCAACACAAGUUAGAAACUAGAAAGACAAAAACGAAAUAUUAUUGAAAGAAUUUCUGGACUUAUCUAUUAUUAAUACUCUCAAUAUGUGAGAUACACAAAAUAAAUUAGUACGUAUAGUAAAUUAAGAGGAAUCUUCGUUUUUAAAAGAAGCAGCAAAUUCUGUUCCCGUCAACGGUGGCCACUUUCUUCCGUACAUUGAUUCAGAGCCAGUCUCAUACACAUGGAUUUUCACUCUAGAAAAGCCAGUUUUCCUAAAAAUAUCAAGUCUUUAUUUCUAGCUUACAAUUUGUUUGCUAUCACAUUAUCGGUCGCCGUUAUUUGGUCGGCCAGAUUAACGGGGGUGGGGGCGUCCCCCCAAACUAAAUAUUUAUCCCAGUGUACAUUGGACACAGACUGUGACAACUCUAGAACAUUUCUACGUUGUUCCAAUAAACAGUGUCAAUGUUCCGCUAUCAAUUACUUUGAUGUUGAGACGAAUCGAUGUCUAAUUCGGGUUGGAGGUACAUGUCAGCUAAAAAGUAAAAAUCAAUAUUGCGUCUCGUUUGCAGAGUGUCGUCCAUCAUUCACCGUUUCAAAUGGAAAAUCUUCUGACAUGGGGACAUGUCAAUGCAGAUCAAAACACAAGGAAACAAUACAUAGUUUGUGUUCGAGGGGUGCCACAAUCCAAAAUUUUUACUACGGAACCACUCCUUUCUUAUUUUAUCUUAUCUUGUAUAUUACAAUGUGAUGAGAUUCUUUAGCUUUUUGCAUACUCAAAAUACUCGUACAUAUGUACCAGUACACAAAGAAUUCAACAACUAGUUUCCGAAUGAGUUCAUGAACAUAAUGCCAAUCUUGUGACAAUAUAAUUUGACAAUAGAUGAAAAUAUCAAACAGUUUAUUGGAUAAAAUACAGAGUUAUUAUAUAAAUAAGAUAUAGAAUUGUAAUGGAUAUAGCAGUUAUCAAUUUGAGAAUUUUAAAAAUAAAAUAUGUAAUGUGA